rnacentral:rRNA from 1 species
AGCGAACGCUGGCGGCAGGCUUAACACAUGCAAGUCGAGCGGGCAUCCUUGUGGUGUCAGCGGCAGACGGGUGAGUAACGCGUGGGAACGUGCCCUUCGGUUCGGAAUAACUCAGGGAAACUUGAGCUAAUACCGGAUACGUGCGAGAGCAGAAAGGUUUAUCUGCCGAAGGAUCGGCCCGCGUCUGAUUAGCUAGUUGGUGAGGUUACGGCUCACCAAGGCGACGAUCAGUAGCUGGUCUGAGAGGAUGAUCAGCCACACUGGGACUGAGACACGGCCCAGACUCCUACGGGAGGCAGCAGUGGGGAAUAUUGGAAAAUGGGGGCAACCCUGAUCCAGCCAUGCCGCGUGAGUGAUGACGGCCUUAGAGUUGUAAAGCUCUUUUCUCCGGGACGAUAAUGACGGUACCGGAGGAAUAAGCCCCGGCUAACUUCGUG